ACUUUUUUUUUUAUUAGUAGAAUUAUAUUAUUGUUUAGAAUUAUAAGCUUCUAUAUACACAUAUUGUUUUUUGAUUUGCUGAUUGUGAUUUUGUUUUAUAUUUUUUCAGAGAUGAUUUGACGGAAGUGUUCAUAUUUCAGACCUCUAAGAGUUCACCAUUCCGGUCCUGCAAAAGAUGUACGCUUAGAAUGGUCCUGAUGUUGCAGUCAUUAGGUGAUAUUUCCUCUGGUUCUUUGAUUUUUCAGGAACUCCUUUGUCUAAAAGAAAAAGCCAAGAAGAUCAUGACAGUAGUCUUGAAGAUCAACACUAUGUCAUUUAACAAUUAUAUUAUUUCUUAUUUAUUAUUUAGUUCUCACAAUUUGCCUUGAAUGAAAAAUAUGUCCAUAUUUAUCACAUUAA